rnacentral:rRNA from 1 species
UGGUGGAGUGAUUUGUCUGGUUUAUUCCGUUAACGAACGAGACCCCUGCCUGCUAAAUAGCGCCGGGAAUGCUUCGCAUUGCCGGAUCGCUUCUUAGAGGGACUGUAUGGGACUACCAAUACGGAAGUUGGGGGCAAUAACA